rnacentral:lncRNA from 10 species
AAGGUCUUCUCCUGAGAUGGGGGAGGGAGAGUUAAGAGAUUUAUUUUGGACACACGAGGUUGGACAUAAUAGAAAUCUGAGAGAAGAUGUUGGAUAGGCUGUUGGAGAGGCUUGGAAUGGAGAUAUUAAUUUGGGAUUCAUGGGCAUCUAGCUGCAUUUAAGUCCCUAGGAUUUGCCGAAAGUGACUGUGAGAGAUGAGAUUGGAGCACCUGGGAUUGGACCCAACUACUCUUAACAUUUAGAAGUCAGGGACAGAAAGGUAAUCUAGCAGAGAAAACGCAAUGAAAGGGCACAGACUAGCUUGCUGAAGAACCACGGGAGUGGACAGCAGAGAGCAUUGCAGCAGGGACUGGCCAGCCAGGGGUAACGAGGAUGAGUGGUCCAGGCAGGGGACCUGGUGACAUGGGAGCCAUGUUGAUCUAGUGCGUGGUUUCCUGGUGUGAGGAAGAGGGGAAUGCAGCCUGGAGAAGGCAUGACAGAUGGGGCAGGAUCCAUGAGAAUGAACUUUCAAUAAAUGAAGUCUUUGCAUUAUGAAUUCAAAGUGCUAUUUAGCAGAAACAUUGGAGAACGAGAAGAAUCCGAAGGAAAAUCCAGGGGCAAAAUAAGCAUUAUCCUCCGGGAGCAGAAGAGUCAGUGUCCCCAGGAUGCAGCCAGCUUUCAGGAAAGGCUGAGACUCAGAAAGCAUGGGAGUAGUGUUGCAAUGGAAAGGACACUUGAGAGAAGACACUGGAAGUGUUUGGGAGGUAAAGGAGUGAAAAAGGGCUGGGUGAAAGGAAAACAUCAGUUAGGAUAACCCCAUGGGAGAAAGUGGAUAGCUCUAAGGGCUUCUACUGUGGGCAGAAAUAUGACGCAUGGUAGGUUGAGUUGUUUGUUUCGUUUUGUUUUGAGACUGAGUCUUACUCUGUCACCCAGGCUGGAGUGCAGUGGCACAAUCUCGGCUCACUGCAACCUCUGCCUCCCAGGUUCAAGCAAUUCUCCUGCCUCAGCCCCUGAGUAGCUAGGACUAUAGGCGUGCACCACCACACCCAGCUAAUCUUUAUUGUAUUUUUUGUAGAGAUGGGGUUUCACCAUGUUGGCUGAGUUGGUCUCAAACUCCUGACCUCAAGCAAUCCACCUGCCUCAGCCUCCCAAAGUCCUGGGAUUGCAGGUGUAAGCCAUCGUGCCCGGCCGGUAGGUUGAGUUUUAAUGGUGUCUGUGAAGAUGCAAGUUCAGCUGUAGCCUGGAAGUGUGACCUGGCAUCUGAGAGGAGCACUGCAGCACCCCUUUUCUGUGCUGCUUGCAUUGGCAUCCAUGCUCAGACCUUUCCAGAGAUUUCUCCAUUAGAGGACUGUUAGAUGCCACUAGA